GACAACACAACCUUAACAUAUCAGCAGGGUCAAACAAUCAAACAGAUUUCAAUAAUCUUUUUGAUCAGUUUACCAAAUUCAUGCAAACACAAGAGGCUCGGUCCACAUCCAAAGUGGACCCAGGACAAGUUGACAGGAAUGAAGAUUGGUGAAGGACAACUUGUCAACGAUAUUUAUAUUGUUGAUCUUUCUAGAUGUGCUUUCAAUUCAUACACUAAUUUUGAGCAAGAUUUAUGGCAUCAAAGGCUAGGACAUCCUUCUAAUAAAGUUGUAAAACAUCUUUUUCGAAUA